rnacentral:rRNA from 1 species
GACGAACGCUGGCGGCGUGCCUAACACAUGCAAGUCGAGCGAAUGAAGUUCCUUCGGGAACGGAUUUAGCGGCGGACGGGUGAGUAACACGUGGGCAACCUACCUCAUAGAGGGGAAUAGCCUUCCGAAAGGGAGAUUAAUACCGCAUAAGAUUGUAGUACCGCAUGGUACAGCAAUUAAAGGAGCAAUCCGCUAUGAGAUGGGCCCGCGGCGCAUUAGCUAGUUGGUGAGGUAACGGCUCACCAAGGCGACGAUGCGUGGCCGACCUGAGAGGGUGAUCGGCCACAUUGGGACUGAGACACGGCCCAGACUCCGACGGGAGGCAGCAGUGGGGAAUAUUGCACAAUGGGGGAAACCUUGAUGCAGCAACGCCGCGUGAGUGAUGACGGCCUUCGGGUUGUAAAGCUCUGUCUUCAGGGACGAUAAUGACGGUACCUGAGGAGGAAGCCGCGGCUAACUACGUGCCAGCAGCCGCCGUAA